ACGAACGCUGGCGGCGUGCCUCAUACAUGCAAGUAGCACGCUGAAGGAGGAGCUUGCUUCUCUGGAUGAGUUGCGAACGGGUGAGUAACGCGUAGGUAACCUGCCUGGUAGCGGGGGAUAACUAUUGGAAACGAUAGCUAAUACCGCAUAAUAGCAGUUGUUGCAUGACAACUGUUUGAAAGGUGCAAUUGCACCACUACCAGAUGGACCUGCGUUGUAUUAGCUAGUUGGUGGGGUAACGGCUCACCAAGGCGACGAUACAUAGCCGACCUGAGGGGGUGAUCGGCCACACUGGGACUGAGACACGGCCCAGACUCCUACGGGAGGCAGCAGUAGGGAAUCUUCGGCAAUGGACGGAAGUCUGACCGAGCAACGCCGCGUGAGUGAAGAAGGUUUUCGGAUCGUAAAGCUCUGUUGUAAGAGAAGAACGAGUGUGAGAGUGGAAAGUUCACACUGUGACGGUAUCUUACCAGAAAGGGACGGCUAACUACGUG
rnacentral:rRNA from 1 species